rnacentral:rRNA from 1 species
GUAGCCGGUUCCGUAAGUCCUCUGUUAAAUCCAGUCGCUCAACGGCUGGUCUGCAGAGGAUACUGUGGGACUAGGAGGCGGGAGAGGCGGACGGUACUCCGCGUGUAGGGGUAAAAUCCUUUGAUCCGCGGAAGACCACCAGUGGCGAAGGCGGUCCGCCAGAACGCGCUCGACGGUGAGGGGUGAAAGCUGGGGGAGCGAACCGGAUUAGAUAUGCAGCAGGCAAAGGCCUGCGCACUAAAUACCCGGGUAGUCCCAGCCGUAAACGAUGCGAGCUAGAUGAUUCGAUCGCAGUUCGCGAUCGAAGUGUCGCAGGGAAGCCGUUAAGCUCGCCGCCUGGGGAGUACGGUCGCAAGGCUGAAUCGCAAGAAGAUCAUUCUUCUUGCGCAGUUCACUUAAAGGAAU